rnacentral:tRNA from 2 species
GCCGUUGUGGCGGAAUUGGCAGACGCGCAGCGUUCAGGUCGCUGUCUAGUUUACUAGGUGCGAGUUCGAAUCUCGCCAACGGCA